rnacentral:rRNA from 1 species
GACGAACGCUGGCGGCGUGCCUAACACAUGCAAGUCGAGCGAGUGAAUCUCCUUCGGGAGUGAAGCUAGCGGCGGACGGGUGAGUAACACGUGGGCAACCUGCCCCAUAGAGGGGAAUAGCCUUCCGAAAGGAAGAUUAAUACUGCAUAAGAUUGUAGCUUCGCAUGAAGUAGCAAUUAAAGGAGCAAUCCGCUAUGAGAUGGGCCCGCGGCGCAUUAGCUAGUUGGUGAGGUAACGGCUCACCAAGGCAACGAUGCGUAGCCGACCUGAGAGGGUGAUCGGCCACAUUGGGACUGAGACACGGCCCAGACUCCUACGGGAGGCAGCAGUGGGGAAUAUUGCACAAUGGGGGAAACCCUGAUGCAGCAACGCCGCGUGAGUGAUGACGGCCUUCGGGUUGUAAAGCUCUGUCUUCAGGGACGAUAAUGACGGUACCCGAGGAGGAAGCCACGGCUAACUACGUGCCAGCAGCCGCCGUAA